GAUGAACGCUAGCUACAGGCUUAACACAUGCAAGUCGAGGGGUAGCAGGGAGUAGCAAUACUCCGCUGACGACCGGCGCACGGGUGAGUAACACGUAUCCAACCUACCAUUUACUCAGGGAUAACCCUUCGAAAGAAGGACUAAUACCUGAUAGUAUAACAAAUUCGCAUGUUUUUGUUAUUAAAGAAUUUCGGUAAUUGAUGGGGAUGCGUUUCAUUAGAUUGUUGGUGAGGUAACGGCUCACCAAGUCUUCGAUGAAUAGGGGUUCUGAGAGGAAGGUCCCCCACACUGGUACUGAGACACGGACCAGACUCCUACGGGAGGCAGCAGUGAGGAAUAUUGGUCAAUGGGCGAGAGCCUGAACCAGCCAAGUAGCGUGAAGGAUGACUGCCCUAUGGGUUGUAAACUUCUUUUACAUGGGAAUAAAGUGCAGGACGUGUCCUGUUUUGUAUGUACCAUAUGAAUAAGGAUCGGCUAACUCCGUGCCAGCAGCCGCAGUAAUAC
rnacentral:rRNA from 1 species